rnacentral:rRNA from 1 species
ACAUAACUGAUGCCUCCGCGUAUCGACUUUGUGCGCAUUUUAGCUAUUAUGUGUUCUUUUAAUUAAAAUGAUUCUUUUUAAGAUUCAUCUAUUAAAAAUUUGCUUCGGCAUAAUUUUUUUUGAUGAUCUUGUUACUUUGAGUAAAUUAGAGUGUUCAAAGCAAACAGAUAUAGCAUUUGUGCGUUUGAAUACUACAGCAUGGAAUAACAAAAUUGAACAAGUCAGAAUUUUUUUGUUCUUUUUUCUUAUUUUGGCUUAGUUACGAUUAAUAGGAGUAGCUUGGGGGCAUUUGUAUUCAGAUGUCAGAGGUGAAAUUCUUAGAUUUUCUGGAGACAAACAACUGCGAAAGCAUUUGCCUAAAAUACUUCCAUUAAUCAAGAACGAAGGUUAAGGGAGUGAAGACGAUCAGAUACCGUCGUAAUCUUAACCAUAAACUAUGCCGACUAGGCUUUGGAUGAAAGAUUUUAAAAUAAGAGUUUUUCUUUUCUCUCCGGAGAUUAGAACUCUUAGAUUGCUUCCUUCAGUGCCUUAUGAGAAAUCAAAGUCUUUGGGUUCUGGGGCGAGUAUUCGCGCAAGCGAGAAAGUUAAAAGAAUUGACGGAAGGGCACCACCAGGCGUGGAGCUUGCGGCUUAAUUUGACUCAACACGGGAAAACUCACUAGUUUAAGACAAGAGUAGGAUUGACAGAUUAAUAGCUCUUUCUUGAUUUCUUGGAUGGUGAUGCAUGGCCGUUUUUAGUUCGUGAAUAUGAUUUGUCUGGUUAAUUCCGAUAACGAACGAGAUCUUAACCUGCUAAUUAGCGGCAAAUACGAUAUAUUCUUAUGUAGAAUUGAAUAUAGUGGAUUUGUUAGAUUUUGAAGAAAAUAUUGGAAUUACGUUAAAUGUGAUUCCUUUCCCUUUUCUACUUAAUUUACAUUUCCAUCUAUUUCUUUUUUGCGUAUGAAUGUAUUUGCUUGAUUGUAAAGCUUCUUAGAGGAACGAUGUGUG